rnacentral:lncRNA from 1 species
UUUUUUUUGACAUGCAUUCUACUUUCGGUUUUGACAGCUGUUUCCAAGAAAUUGGAAGUUAAAUAGCAAACAGAUCAAUUGAGGCCAAGAAGCCAUCAUUGAUAGUAAAGAUGGAAACAGUUUUGAUGAACUUAAUGACCUUGACUACGAACCAGAAAGUGAAGAAGAUGGAGAUGAUGAUGAUGAUUAUGAAGAAGUAGAUGAAGUAAUGGACAAAUGGGAAAGACAGUGGGAAGGAAAAGUAGAAAGGGGGAUGAAAAGAAAAUGGACUGAAGAAGAAAAUAUAGUUUUCUUUGACAUUUUCAAGGAUGAACUUACCUUAACAAAGAUGCCUAAUAAAGCAGGAAAAUUGCAGAAUGUUGUUGAAAAGAUAAAAGAACAGUUCCACAAGUGAGGAUGAGAGUUCACAACAUGAUAACAAAGCAGCAAAAGACAUUGAUCAAGAUGAAAGUUUUAUCCUAUUAAUUUUAAGAUAACUGUAAAAGGUACUAUUCAGUAAUGUUGAAGAAGAAAUUGGAAAAGAAUGAUAGAUGCAGGCUUUUAAGUGGUAUUUCUUUCAUAUGUUACUUUUUAGCUUAAAUAUUUGCUGUUUACUUUUACACGAUUGUUAGCUCGCGUGAGCAAAAAGUGCUCAGUGGGAGCUUUGUGAUCUCUUAUUGUGCGUUGGUCAAACUUUUCUUCAGGCGACAUCUCUGAAACCACAUGGUUGGUGAAACUUGGCCUGGAUGUUCCUUGGAUGAUCCUCUACCUAAGUGUUCAAAGCAUUUUAUUCCAUGCAGAACUCUGGUGCUAUGGCAACAGAAAUGAAAAACUUGAACAGUCUUCUUCUCAGAAACCAGUUUCAAUAUAAUUUGACAAAAUUGUUCCUCUGGUGACCCUCUAACAAGAUUGCUCAAAUUUAGCCAAAAAUAUGGCUGCUAGAAGGCAUGGUCUCUUUUCCCUACAUUUAUAUAUUGGAAUUUAAAAAAAAAAUCUUGUCAGAAACUGUUUGCCCAAUUACAUAAUAAUUUCACAGGAAUGUGCUGUUUUUGACCCUCUACCAGGAUUGUUCAUAUUUGUCAAAAAAACAUUGCCGC